ACGCUGGCGGCGUGCCUAAUACAUGUAAGUAGAACGCUGAAGGAGGAGCUUGCUUCUCUGGAUGAGUUGCGAACGGGUGAGUAACGCGUAGGUAACCUGCCUGGUAGCGGGGGAUAACUAUUGGAAACGAUAGCUAAUACCGCAUAAUAGUAGAUGUUGCAUGACAUUUGCUUAAAAGGUGCAAUUGCAUCACUACCAGAUGGACCUGCGUUGUAUUAGCUAGUUGGUGGGGUAACGGCUCACCAAGGCGACGAUACAUAGCCGACCUGAGAGGGUGAUCGGCCACACUGGGACUGAGACACGGCCCAGACUCCUACGGGAGGCAGCAGUAGGGAAUCUUCGGCAAUGGACGGAAGUCUGACCGAGCAACGCCGCGUGAGUGAAGAAGGUUUUCGGAUCGUAAAGCUCUGUUGUAAGAGAAGAACGAGUGUGAGAGUGGAAAGUUCACACUGUGACGGUAUCUUACCAGAAAGGGACGGCUAACUACGUGCCAGCAGCCGCGGUAAUACGUAGGUCCCGAGCGUUGUCCGGAUUUAUUGGGCGUAAAGCGAGCGCAGGCGGUUAGAUAAGUCUGAAGUUAAAGGCUGUGGCUUAACCAUAGUACGCUUUGGAAACUGUUUAACUUGAGUGCAAGAGGGGAGAGUGGAAUUCCAUGUGUAGCGGUGAAAUGCGUAGAUAUAUGGAGGAACACCGGUGGCGAAAGCGGCUCUCUGGCUUGUAACUGACGCUGAGGCUCGAAAGCGUGGGGAGCAAACAGGAUUAGAUACCCUGGUAGUCCACGCCGUAAACGAUGAGUGCUAGGUGUAGACCCUUUCCGGGGUUUAGUGCCGUAGCUAACGCAUUAAGCACUCCGCCUGGGGAGUACGACCGCAAGGUUGAAACUCAAAGGAAUUGACGGGGGCCCGCACAAGCGG
rnacentral:rRNA from 1 species